GACGAACGCUGGCGGCGUGCUUAACACAUGCAAGUCGAGCGGUAAGGCCCUUUCGGGGGUACACGAGCGGCGAACGGGUGAGUAACACGUGGGUGACCUGCCCUCAGCUCUGGGAUAAGCCUGGGAAACUGGGUCUAAUACUGGAUAUGACUCCACGGUGCAUGUCGUGGGGUGGAAAGCCUUGUGCGGCUGAGGAUGGGCCCGCGGCCUAUCAGCUUGUUGGUGGGGUGANGGCCUACCAAGGCGACGACGGGUAGCCGGCCUGAGAGGGCGACCGGCCACACUGGGACUGAGACACGGCCCAGACUCCUACGGGAGGCAGCAGUGGGGAAUCUUGCGCAAUGGGCGAAAGCCUGACGCAGCGACGCCGCGUGAGGGAUGACGGCCUGGUGUAAG
rnacentral:rRNA from 1 species